rnacentral:rRNA from 1 species
GACGAACGCUGGCGGCGUGCUUAACACAUGCAAGUCGAACGGUAAGGCCUUUCGGGGUACACGAGUGGCGAACGGGUGAGUAACACGUGGGUGAUCUGCCCUGCACUUCGGGAUAAGCCUGGGAAACUGGAUCUAAUACCGGAUAGGACCCUGGGAUGCAUGUCCUGGGGUGGAAAGCUUUUGCGGUGUGGGAUGGGCCCGGGGCCUAUCAGCUUGUUGGUGGGGUGAUGGCCUACAAAGGUGACGACGGGUAGCCGGCCUGAGAGGGUGACCGGCCACACUGGGACUGAGAUACGGCCCAGACUCCUACGGGAGGCAGCAGUGGGGAAUAUUGCACAAUGGGCGCAAGCCUGAUGCAGCGACGCCGCGUGAGGGAUGACGGCCUUCGGGUUGUAAACCUCUUUCAGCACCGACGAAGCGCAAGUGACGGUAGGUGCAGAAGAAGGACCGGCCAACUACGUGCCAGCCGCCGCAGUAA